GUAACAAGGUCUCCGUUGGUGAACCAGCGGAGGGAUCAUUGCUGGAACGCGCCCCUGGCGCACCCAGAAACCCUUUGUGAACUUAUACCUUACUGUUGCCUCGGCGCAUGCUGGCCCCCUGGGGGCCCCUCGGAGACGAGGAGCAGGCACGCCGGCGGCCAAGUUAACUCUUGUUUUUACACUGAAACUCUGAGAAAAAAAACACAAAUGAAUCAAAACUUUCAACAACGGAUCUCUUGGUUCUGGCAUCGAUGAAGAACGCAGCGAAAUGCGAUAAGUAAUGUGAAUUGCAGAAUUCAGUGAAUCAUCGAAUCUUUGAACGCACAUUGCGCCCUCUGGUAUUCCGGAGGGCAUGCCUGUUCGAGCGUCAUUUCAACCCUCAAGCAUUGCUUGGUGUUGGGGCACUGCUUUUUACCCAAAAGCAGGCCCUGAAAUCUAGUGGCGAGCUCGCCAGGACCCCGAGCGCAGUAGUUAAACCCUCGCUUUGGAAGGCCCUGGCGGUGCCCUGCCGUUAAACCCCCAACUUUUGAAAAUUUGACCUCGGAUCAGGUAGGAAUACCCGCUGAACUUAAGCAUAUC
rnacentral:rRNA from 1 species